CGUAGUUAGCCGUGACUUAUUCCUGGGGUACCGUCCUCUCUCGUCCCCCAGAAAAGGGCUUUACAACCCAAGGCCUUCGUCGCCCACGCGGCGUUGCUGCCUCAGACUUUCGUCCAUUGGGCAAUAUUCCUCA
rnacentral:rRNA from 1 species